GACGAACGCUGGCGGCGUGCUUAACACAUGCAAGUCGAACGCUGAAGCUUGGUGCUUGCACUGGGUGGAUGAGUGGCGAACGGGUGAGUAAUACGUGAGUAACCUGCCCUUGACUCUGGGAUAAGCCUGGGAAACUGGGUCUAAUACUGGAUACGACAUGUCACCGCAUGGUGGUGUGUGGAAAGGGUUUUACUGGUUUUGGAUGGGCUCACGGCCUAUCAGCUUGUUGGUGGGGUAAUGGCUCACCAAGGCGACGACGGGUAGCCGGCCUGAGAGGGUGACCGGCCACACUGGGACUGAGACACGGCCCAGACUCCUACGGGAGGCAGCAGUGGGGAAUAUUACACAAUGGGCGGAAGCCUGAUGCAGCGACGCCGCGUGAGGGAUGACGGCCUUCGGGUUGUAAACCUCUUUCAGCACGGAAGAAGCGAAAGUGACGGUACGUGCAGAAGAAGCGCCGGCUAACUACGUG
rnacentral:rRNA from 1 species